GGGGAAUCUUGCACAAUGGGGGCAACCCUGAUGCAGCGACGCCGCGUGAGCGAUGAAGCCCUUCGGGGCGUAAAGCUCUUUCGACCGGAACGAUAAUGACGGUACCGGGAGAAGAAGCUGCGGCUAACUACGUGCCAGCAGCCGCGGUAAUACGUAGGCAGCGAGCGUUGUUCGGAGUUACUGGGCGUAAAGGGUGUGUAGGCGGUUCUCUAAGUUUGGUGUGAAAUCUCCCGGCUUAACCGGGAGGGUGCGCCGAAAACUGGGGAGCUAGAGUGCGGGAAGGGAGAGUGGAAUUCCUGGUGUAGCGGUGAAAUGCGUAGAUAUCAGGAGGAACACCGGUGUUGUAGACGGCUCUCUGGACCGUAACUGACGCUGAGACACGAAAGCGUUGGUAGCAAACA
rnacentral:rRNA from 1 species